rnacentral:tRNA from 1 species
GGCAAGAAAGGCUAAAUAGGCCAUCGGGCUCAUAAUCCGACAUGUGGGAACUUCCCUCUUGCUAC